UUCAACCCACGUCUACAUCUUCAACCCACGUCUUCAUCCUUCCCCUAUUGAUAAGUUUCAUUGGUUUCUCUAGAAACUCCCCACUCCCCUACUACUUCGCCUGAAACUAGUAACAACCCCGCUCCCCAUAUUCCACCGUUGUUGUUACGCACAGACUUACAAACCCUGGAACCCCUUCUUCUUCUUCUUCUUCUUCUCCUCUCUCUCUCUAGCGAUGACAUAAGCACUUCCAAAAACAAAGAUCAGUGCAAUUCUUAUAGUUGCAACGCAACAAUCGAACCCUAAUCGAACAACCACUGCCCUCGCUUCGACGACUCCUGCAAUGUGAUUUGUUCUAUUUCACAUGACCAAAUUCUAUGGUGGUGGUAUGAAUGGUUUAAGAGGGUUUAAGGAGAAAUGAUGAGCAGGGGGAUCCUGAACUUGGACUUUUGGAGUAUUUUGAUUUUGGUUUACCAAUACAACCUGUUUGAUGAAAUGCCUAAGUAAAAUUCAAUGUAAGGUCCUUCUAAUUUUGUUCUUGGAAAUUAAACAGGCUACAAAGGUGCAAUGUAAGAGUUCUCCCGCUGCGGUACACCUCUCUACGGAACUCACCCACAUCUCGAGUUCGAUCCCUCUUGGGUAACUUACCAUAGUUGGUUCAGCUCAAAUCACUUCUUUUUUCUGUUGUAUGAGUCAAAACAGGUUGGAUCAGGCCAAUUCCGCAAAAAAAGUUUCUCCUUUUUUAUGAAUUUUAUAAAUAAUUAGCAGUUGGGUAUGAUCAUAGAUGUACAAGAUUGCAUUAUUUUAAUUACAGCUAUAAUGUUAACUUUUUUAUAAAUUAUAGAAGGUUUUAUGCAUUUGAAUACAUUUCGGAUUACUUUCAAGGGGAUGACUACCCAGUUCCUCCUCCGUCGUUCCUUUAAGGUGGAAAGCUGGCAUACGGCCUUGUGCAUGCGGUAGCUGGUGGUUUGGAUGUUAUUGUGCCAAUGGGCAAAUGCAUUGUUACUCGGGGCUUUUCUUCAGAAUUUGUUAUGCUAUUGCAAAACAUUUCAGGGUCAUUGUAACAAAUAUUCAACUUGAGUGAGUUUUUUGGAUGGAUCAACUAGGCAUGACUUCACUUGCAAAAGUACUAAAGGAUAUGUUUGUUAUGCAGGCAGCCCGGUCAGAGCGUCAAUAAGUGCUGAGUGCUUUGGCCAUUCUCUUGCCUUAUGCCACCACCCUCUUUAUGUCGGAUGCUUCUACUGCUGCAUCUGCACAUCAUGCUUUGAAUGAUGAUAUAAUAUAAUUUCAUUUCAAAUGCAUGUUAGCCAUUGUUGCAUCAGAGCAAAAAAGAGUGUAAUGU
rnacentral:lncRNA from 1 species